CCGGAGAAAGUGCGUCUCUCUCCCGGCUUACAAAAAGUUGACAUCGAGUCGGUUGAAAAGUAGGUUAAUUAGUAGUGUCUGACAGAGCUCCCCAGCAGUGACUUACUUCAGGUGCCGCAUAUUACUGCUACUCUGCUGAAAAAGGCUUUGUUUUCACCUAGCUUUGUAGCCUCGAGUGUCUGAAUAUUGAUUAACUCCGGGUAUUUGACUUCUUUGAAAUACGCUCGCAAUAUUCCGAUAAACCGCAUCCUUAUACUCGGGAUGUUCUUUAAAUGUAAUUAAAGUAUUAAAAGCGCUUUGCUGCUGGAAAUGUGGCCCUUGGCAACGAAGGGAGAAACCUUUGCCGUCAGAGUUUGCCGAUGUCCCUUAGCGAGGGGAUACGGUCAGCAAACUGCCGCGCAGGGACCUACCCCAGAGAGAGCUUUUCUAUCUUUUUCUCAUGGGAAGAAAACAAACAAAAAAAAAAACCGAAAUAUUUACAUUCCCCAGAGGGUCUCGGUGAGCUCGGUCGAGUCCCAUCCCCAUAUCUGGCCACGCAAAGCCAGAAAACCUUCCCACUUCCGAAAUGUCUGGGGAAUCGCCCCGCACGGCAGCACUCUCCAUCCUCCCCUUUGGGCGGCUGUCGCGACAGACGCGAUGUCGGGACGGAGGGGCGCACGGGGCGGCCGGACAGCCCCAGCCGCGGUCCCCGGGCGCGCAGCGCAGCGCGGCGCGGAGCGUUUUUCUAAUGCCAACCCCUGGAUGCGCUCGGCGUUUCAAAGGCCUCUGAGAGGAGACCUCUGAGGGAGAGAGGAGAGCGGUUCGGAGGAGAGGACGAAUGGAUUCCUGAGGGAAACAUCUCACGGUGCUCUUUGGUGGACCAAGAAGUGGACCUUCCAGUGGGCGUCCUGGGGAGGAGAGGAGCGGUGUCGGUCUGCAUUCUCCCAUGACAAAGGGGAACUGCUCGUUUAUUUGCCCUCUCCGGGGAGGGAAUAAACCCGAGGAGGUGACGCUUUGUGCUGAGCCACUGGUCUGUCCAUGCGCUCAGAGCUCUGGCACUCAGACAGGCCGAGGCAGCGGCCAAGCAGCCCCUGCCCUCUGCACCCACACCUCGUGAAGGUCUCUACGGUCUCCCCGUGUGUUCCUUCCAUAGGGAAUUCCACGCAACGUUGCCACUCUUUCUCCUGGUAGAUGUCCCCAGGAGCCUCGAGUAAAACAGCACCCCGAGGAGAAGGGCACGAAGCUCAUGGCAUGCAAACUCAUGGCUUUUUUUCCAAGCCACCCAGUAGACAAUGAGCGAUGGGGCAGGGUUGUGUAAAAGCCCUGCAUUCCCCAGAACGGGCUCUGUGUCUUUGUCUUUACAUAAAACUGUGCCCUUUGGCCAAACGCGCCUGUAACGAGCUUGUAAAACAAACCAGAAAUCUCAGCUCUUCCUCAAGUCUACAAGAGAGUCGCUUUAUUCCCAAAUCUUGCAAAUAUGUUGGGAGUGUUAGAAGUGGGACUAAAAAGCCCCCCUAGCAGAGAUGGUUACCUGCUGUGACCCUCCCUGCCACAGUCCCCUUCAGCAGACAUAUUAAAUCCCUUACCCGAAGAAAACAGGCACUUGUCACAAUUGAAGCCUGACGUACUGGGACGGCGGGAUGUCACCAUUUAGGGGACUUUACAUUUUCCCCGCAGGCCCUUCUUGAGCGGAUGUCCCUCACACGCCUCCACUAGAGGCCUGCAGGGACAGAGCUGCCCCGAUCUGAGCGUUCCUGAGUUCCUCCUCCAGAGAUGUCCCCCCUCUUGAGAUGUCCAGCUCGCUGUCUUCCCUGCCCAGCCCCAGCACCUCUCCCCUUGCCUUGCGGUCGGUUAUUUACGGAGGAUCCGAGGAAGCGGCAGGUGGAUCCCCCCCAAAACCCCUUCGUGACGCCACCCCCCAGCCCGCCCCGUCGGUUCCCCCCGACGGAAGGUGCCAGGCCGAGCCCCCGGCAGCGGGGAGCGGUGCCUCCAGCCGGCCCCCGCCCUCCGACAGCACUCUGCCAUUCUUUCCCAGCUCUGAAGUAUGCGUUUUAUUAUAGAUUGUUUAAUUGGAUGAGCAACAUUCCCACCGCCCUGAGCACAGGCUAAGUGGAAAAAGGUUUACUUGGCAUCGCGAACCAAUUUCAGUUUAAAAAAACAAAACAAAACAAAACAAAAACCCAAAAACCAACGACAGGCACACAAGCGAAGAAGCUCUCCACAUAUCGCCUGGGGGCUAAGCGAGCUUCCAAGGACCUGAGUCGUAAGGUUUCCCACCCAAAGCGGCCCUCAGCUCUUUUCUAACAGGGAGUCAGAAAGAAGGGGUGUCCACUGUCCCCCAGCAUCUGGGCAGCCCCCCUCCCCCCCCCAACCCCCGCUGCUUGCCAGCAUCUUGGCUAACAACCGGCGAUUGCUGAGCACUGGAGAAAUGUCCCACGUAGCCGAAGUUCAGUAUCUGUCAGGCGACGGAACGACGGCAAGAUUCAUUUUUAGGGCGUGAAUGGUUUCUUAGCCCACUCGCGGCUUUGUAACUUCCAACGAAAAGGCAGGGAAAAAAGGCAGGCGCGGCCGCAGGCGCGGCUCGGAGGAGCCCACCGAUCGCUCAGUCAUAAAAGUGUACAAUGGAGGGACUUUAUUGUCCCUCGUUAAGCGCUUCAUAAGUGACCCCGUUUAUUUCUGAAUAGCCGUGUUUUGAUGACUUAUAGUAUAUGCAAAAACAAACUUUCCCGCGGUGGGGUUUUUUUUUUUUCCCUCCGUCAUGCUUUUCUUUUCAAACAGCCAGAUGAUUUUAAAAAGAAAAACACCCAGAAAUGAUAAAUCGCGUCGCAUAGCUAAUGGCUGGAGGGCGCGUUUACCAAUUCAUAAUCAUUUAUUCUUGGUGAUGUAUGACCCUUACUCUUAAAUCUCAAAAGCUUCUAUUUGAAGGUGUAAAUAGCUUUUUCCCCCCUUGCAGUAAACCUUACUGCAUUAGCAGUGAUUGAUCUCCUGUACAAUUCGUCCCAGAGUGCUAUUUUAGAGGGGGAACACUGGCUUUUGGAGAUUAACUGGGGAGUCUGUUACAUAUUAAUGAACCUAGGAGAUAUACUAACGUUUUGGUAAUUUAGUUAUUUGUGUCUAUAGCUUUCGCCGUUAUUUUCUCUUAGACCCCCGCGGUUGUUAUACAUCGAAUUAAAAAGUGGUCCUUCAGCAUCAUUUUUUCAGUGGCAACUAAACGCCAUUUAAUGUGAAAAACAAAUGUUGACUUGUCUCUUGAAGGAAGUGUGUUUCUUGGCAAGACAUCAAAGUGUUUUAAACUGUAUUAGAAGGGUUUGUUAGUUUUCUUACCCGGAGCCUACGGUAAUGUCAGAAAAUAGGCUCCCGGUGGAGGCGGCCGUCGGAGGGGGGAGCGGGCGCUGCGCGGCUCCGCGCUAAGGUGCGCGCUCGGGAGGCGGUUUGAGCCGCAGCACAAACGCACGGGCACCUCUUCGCCGGGAUUACAGCCUUGAUUAGCGUGCUAAUGAAUGGGGAUGUUAAAGAGCCGCCCGGAAACCCGUCUGUGAGAAGG
ensembl:lncRNA